ACUAGGAAGUGAACCACUUGGAAUGGAAUUAGAGAAUCCUAUGAAAGGAAAGGUCUCACCUUUGAAUCCUAUGAAAGUAAUGAGGCCGAAGGGUUGACAAUCCAUGCCUGACGUCCCUGGAUACAUGCUGAGGUGGGUUCACUUCCUAACAAAUAUGUGCCGUCCUGAACUGGGUGAGUCAAGAACAUAUUAUACUUGUGGAAACUGGAUUUCAAAACUCGACUUAGUAGUUCACCACACUGCUAAUUGGUAAACUGAGCUGUUCACGGACACUUUUCUCAAACGAUCAUUUGAGUUCAUGUCCAUGGCCAUUGUCACUGGUGAAUGUCAGCAGGGAGAGACGGUACAGGUGGUGGAUGCUGGCCUCACGCUCAGAGCCCCCUGUCCCACCCUGCGGCACCAUGGCUCUGCACCCCACCUCCCAGGGGGGCAGCCACAAGCCGCUCCUCCUCCAUCUGGAUGCUCUGGGGGCAGGGGGGCAAGAAGGGCACAGCCGUUCAUGCCUUGAACCUGGGCUGCUGGCACACAGGGCCUCCUGCCAGACACCUGCGUGGCCCAGCACCUGGCUGAGGGCUCUACAGACCCAGGCUGCCUUCAGCAAGUCUGGAGGGAGGGCACUGUGACACUUCCUGCCGCUGGAGAGGAGCACCAUGCCGCCACCUCUCCUGUCAGGCUCUCGCAGCCCAGCGUCAGGGCUAAUUGGCCGAGGCCAGACGCAGCCGCAGAGACAGCGAUGAUUGCUACUCUGGAGAGACUGGCCCUGGGAGGUGGGGGGAAGAUGUGGUGACCCCAACAGGAGUUGGGGACUAUUAGCAUACAAAUGACGUCAGCCUGAGGAGGUGCUGCAGAGGAGGGACUGCAUAAAAGCAAGGGACUUGGAGCACGUCGCUCUCUUUGGCUGCUGCUGCUUCUCCUGGUCAGAUUAAUCUUGGCGGAGUAUCUGACAUGGCUACUUCUCUUGGGGACUGAACACGUGUGACUCUGCUAGCCGGUAAACGUUUAGACCCCUCUACAGCCAUGAGCAACCUUUACCUGAGCUGAUAAUUGUUUAUCUUAUGGGACUAAACUUUUGAUAACCAUACUCAGACUUUAGGGACCUAGCGUACUCUUAACCCUUGAUGAUAAGUGCUUAUUUUGCCUUUUACCUGUUUCACCCUAAUAAACCUUGUAUUGUUUAAACCAGUUCCCAGCUCCCCACUGUGAAUCCUUUCACACACCGCAGCAACCCCACAAAUCCCCCUUUUAAGUUAAAUUACAAGCUGCCACUUCUCCAGACAGGCUCUGGCAGCCCGGAGUCAGGGGCUAAUUGGCUGAGGCCAGAGGCAGCGGCAGAGACAGCAAUGAUUGCUACUCUGGAGAGACCGGCCCUGGGAGGUGGGGAGAAAGCAACAAGAGGGGCUGCA